AGCCCUGGCCCAUCAUGUAGCUGCAGCACAGCCUUCCCUAACGUUGCAACUGGGGGAAAAAUCACUUUCCAGUCUGUUUUGCAAGGUGUGCAUUUCCAUCUGGAUUCCCUGAAAGUCCAUCUGCUGCCUCGGUCAAGAGAAACUCCACUUGCAUGAAGAUUGCACGCCUGCAGCUUGCAUCUUUGUUGCAAAACUAGCUACAGAAGAGAAGCAAGGCAAAGUCUUUUGUGCUCCCCUCCCCCAUCAAAGGAAAGGGGAAAAUGUCUCAGUCGAAAGGCAAGAAGCGAAACCCUGGCCUUAAAAUCCCCAAAGAAGCAUUUGAACAACCUCAGACCAGUUCCACGCCACCUCGAGAUUUAGACUCCAAAGCUUGCAUUUCUAUUGGAAAUCAGAACUUUGAGGUGAAGGCGGAUGACCUGGAGCCUAUAGUGGAGCUGGGCCGGGGGGCGUACGGGGUGGUGGAGAAGAUGCGGCAUGUGCCCAGCGGGCAGAUCAUGGCGGUGAAGCGGAUCCGGGCCACAGUAAAUAGCCAGGAGCAGAAAAGGUUACUGAUGGAUUUGGAUAUUUCCAUGAGGACCGUGGACUGUCCUUUUACGGUCACCUUUUAUGGCGCACUCUUCCGUGAGGGGGAUGUCUGGAUCUGCAUGGAGCUCAUGGACACGUCCCUAGAUAAAUUCUACAAACAAGUGAUUGAUAAAGGCCAAACAAUUCCAGAGGACAUCUUAGGGAAAAUAGCAGUUUCUAUUGUAAAAGCAUUAGAACAUUUACACAGUAAGCUCUCUGUCAUUCAUCGAGAUGUCAAGCCUUCCAAUGUGCUCAUCAACACCCUGGGCCAGGUGAAGAUGUGCGAUUUUGGAAUCAGCGGCUACCUUGUUGACUCCGUCGCUAAAACUAUUGAUGCAGGAUGCAAACCGUACAUGGCCCCAGAGAGAAUAAACCCAGAGCUCAACCAGAAGGGAUACAGCGUGAAGUCCGACAUUUGGAGUCUGGGCAUCACCAUGAUCGAGCUGGCCAUCCUUCGGUUUCCCUAUGAUUCGUGGGGAACUCCUUUUCAGCAGCUCAAACAGGUGGUGGAGGAGCCGUCGCCACAACUCCCCGCAGACAAGUUCUCCGAAGAGUUUGUUGACUUUACCUCACAGUGCUUGAAGAAGAAUUCCAAAGAAAGGCCAACAUAUCCAGAGCUUAUGCAACAUCCAUUUUUCACCCUACAUGAAUCCAAAGCGACAGACGUGGCAUCUUUUGUAAAAUCGAUUCUUGGAGACUAAAAACAAUGGACUCCAUCAGUUGACCCUCAUGUGGAUUGGUGGGUUUAACGGGGUGAAGCAAGUUCACUAAAGCGCCAAUAGAAACUCAUCUUUGAGAUAAUUUAACCCUGCCUCUCAGAAGGUUUUUUUCUCCCCAUUUCCUUUUUUUUUUUCUCCCCUCCAAAGGGGGCCUUGGAAUCUAUAGUAUAGAAUGAACUGUCUAGAUGGAAGAAAUAUGAUAAAGGCUUAGGACUUAAAAAGGGAAAUAAAACCUGAAUUCCAGAGCCUUCAAAAUGAAACUAUCCUUCUGGGGAAAGCAUAUUGCCACCAAAUACAUCACUCACCACCUGUUCCUGGUGUCUGCAAAGAAGAUGUGUCAUUUUUCUGAGGUUUAGAGAGUCUGUGUUUACGGCUCUACAAAUAUCAUUCUACCAUUGCAGGUUUCCUAAUGGAGCCAUUUGGAAUCAAGACUUCAGCUGGGGUUUAUCUUUUCAGUUCCUGAUCCAAACUCCUUUUGCAAGCAACACUUCUCUAAAAACCUUUUUUGUAUCUGAGGGAAGAGAACUGAGGGAAGAGAACUGGGCCUCAGAAAAAAUAUAAAGCAAGGUCAAGGACUUUGUGAUAGGGAUUCUUUUCUUUAAAAAGAAGCCGAUAGCCCCUCAUAACACAAACGUGUGUUAACAGAAUUUUAAAAUAUCCAGCCUUGCUCCCUUGGACUGUCAGUAUCUUGACAUCACUUGUAUUUGUCAUUUGAACUAAGGAUAUCAAGUCCUUUAUUCUUGGGAGUUUACAGUCAGAUUUUGGGAGAUCUGCAUUUUCUUUCUGUCUUACAGUUGUCAGUAUGGACAUAUGUCUCCGUGGACAGUUAAUCCUGACGUGCGUGAGUUUUGCCCAGGUUACACUUUUGCAUUUCUGGGUUUCAAGGUCUCUUUCAAGGAAUGAGGCUAAUGCUCUUAUGACUUGGAGACUGAGUUCAGGGAAAGCACGGGGCAGUUUAGGCACUUACUUGUGUCUUAAUAUAGGAAAAAACAAAACACAACAGAACUUCCUAAGUAAUCCCCAGGGUUUGUGGCUUCGGCCAGGCCAUCAGGGUCUUUUCUGUUUUUCUGGAGUGCAUUUGCUUGCUAUUCCUCUGCCGGUUACAGAUGACCUGGGCUGACUUAACUCUUCUGUGGAAAGGAAGUGAUCCAACCAUUUUCAUAUAUCAAAAGUCAGAAUCAGCAGGUUGUUUUGUUUUUUGCUGUACGCGGGCCUCUCACUGUCGUGGCCUCUCUCGUUGCGGAGCACAGGCUCCGGACGCACAGGCUCGGCAGCUAUGGCUCACAGGCCCAGCCGCUCCGCGGCACGUGGGAUCCUCCCGGACCGGGGCACGAACCCGUGUCCCCUGCAUCGGCAGGCGGACUCUCAACCACUGCGCCACCAGGGAAGCCCCGAGAAUCAGCAGUUUUGCAUUGGUCUUGCCUACACGGACUCUAUUGUUCUCAGAUCGUGAAAUGGUGAGGGACAGCUAAGAGAACUUGUAGGAAAGCUCUCAUUCACAGUGUAAGACCUUAUAAUAAAACUUCCAUUUGGCCUUUAAAGAAGAGCAGCUGGGUUGGAUAUGUCUUCCUCCGAAGUCAUAUUCUACUGUGGCCAGAAAUUAACAAUUAGCAUCAUUUGGUCACUACCAGUGUUUGUGUUGGAGCCUGCAAGCUAUUUCAACAGAGCAAGUCAAGCCACUGCCCUAGGCGAUUGUCACUGGACUUUGUAGUUUAAGGCUGAACAGUGAUGUGAAAUUGUGCUUGGGGGCUCGAAGAAAAGAUAAAUGCAAAGGGCUGGCACCCCAUGGAAGAGCAAGCUGAUAAGAGAAGCAGACAGAUAUAUCCCUUAAUUUAUUUUCAGUAAUACUAUAAAGAUGAUCUCCUAUGGGAAAAUCCAUCAAAAAGCCAAGCCUUUAUUAUUAAUUUUUUCUUCAAAAUACUGAACUAUAAGAGGAUUCAGAGAGUGGCACAGAUUUGGAUAUCAGAGAAUUUGUCUUGUUUCCCUAGUGUUACUGAUUCUACAGAGACCAUUUAAACUGAUGGCACCCAGAAAAAAAGGUACACGAUUAGAGGGGUGAUAAAGCGUAUGCAACCCAUCUAUCAGCUGCCUUCUGGGUAAAGAAAAAUGAACACAAAACCGAGCCUCCUUACGUUUAGUUCCGGGGGCAAACAUUUUUAAGAAAGGUGGACACCAAAGGUUAUCUGAUGAGCAUACUUUUUUCACAAUGCAGAGAACUGUGAAUAUUCAUAGAAAUACACUACAGGUCUUCACCAGAAGAGCUAGAAUUUAUAAUUUAAAAAAAAAACACUCAAAGCUAGUUUGCAUUUUCAGAAGCAGUGUGGAAGAAGUGGUUGUUCUAUUUUCUUUUCUUCUGAUCUCAAGUGGCCUACUGUAUGUUCAAUUCUCGGGGAGGUAAGAGUUAAGGGCACAGAGUUGUUUCCAGACUAUAUUCAUUGGUGCUUCUGGGGGGGGAGGGGUCUCUUGUCGAAGCGGGAGGGAAGAGAUAAAGGUCAACCUUGCCUAUCUGAAACCCCUAUCAAACUCCAAUCAGAAUAUUUGGCUAUCAAUAUUGUUCCCUUUAACUGGACGUCUCUGUGGCUAUCAGAGUCUUGGGAACUUAGGAAGAAAUGACCCAUCAAGGGCCACAAACAGCCCAAGGACCUGGGAGCUGUCUUCAACAGUAUCUGUGUGUCCCUGAUGUUUGCUGUCCUGAGUAUGCUAACAGGGCUUGGAAGCGGAAGGGCAAGAGAGGGUCAUGUAUUUUCAUUUUUAAGCAUGAAUCAUUUGAAAGAAAAUGCAGACAUUGAUCUGUGAUGGCCAUGCAUACAGAUCCUUAAGUUGGUUAUUACUGUAAAGUGGUUGAGAGUAACCUGAUCUCCGUGACAAGGAAGUGAUGUCACUGGGAUCUUGAUAGGCAGUGGAAUUUCUAAAUUUCUAUAUUUGCCGAGGCGAGAACUGUCAUUUUGUUCAUGGACACAUAGGAAAAAAAUAAAGCUCUUUGGACAGUGUUAGCACGGAGAAGGGUGCGUUCUGAGGCUCAAGCUGAAGGUCACCACUGCUGGGUUUUACAAAGGCUGCAGGUGGAGAACAGGAGUGGGUCCCAGGGUGGCCCUUGGGAGCUGGAAACUGAGACAGUGUGCCUGUAGUGAAUGGAACGCAAGGGAACAUUCAGACAUCGAACGGAUCGUAGCAGGUGCCUUCUGCACACGCAUCAAAACUCUGCGGUGAAUUCUGACAGUGGUACCUUUGCCAUCAAACCAAAUUUAACAGCUGGGUUCCAGAGCAGCCAUUUCAGAACUAUUUGUGUCAAAAA